rnacentral:rRNA from 1 species
UACGUAGGGCGCAAGCGUUGUCCGGAAUCAUUGGGCGUAAAGAGCUCGUAGGCGGCCUGUUGCGUCCGCUGUGAAAUCCCGGGGCUUAACCCCGGGCGUGCAGUGGAUACGGGCUGGCUGGAGGCAGGCAGGGGAGAACGGAAUUCCCGGUGUAGCGGUGAAAUGCGCAGAUAUCGGGGGGAACACCGGUGGCGAAGGCGGUUCUCUGGGCCUGUACUGACGCUGAGGAGCGAAAGCGUGGGGAGCGAACAGG